ACGGAAGGCAGCAGUGGGGAAUAUUGCACAAUGGGCGAAAGCCUGAUGCAGCGACGCCGCGUGAGUGAAGAAGUAUUUCGGUAUGUAAAGCUCUAUCAGCAGGGAAGAAAAAUGACGGUACCUGACUAAGAAGCACCGGCUAAAUACGUGCCAGCAGCCGCGGUCAUACGUAUGGUGCAAGCGUUAUCCGGAUUUACUGGGUGUAAAGGGAGCGCAGGCGGUACGGCAAGUCUGAUGUGAAAGCCCGGGGCUCAACCCCGGUACUGCAUUGGAAACUGUCGAACUAGAGUGUCGGAGGGGUAAGCGGAAUUCCUAGUGUAGCGGUGAAAUGCGUAGAUAUUAGGAGGAACACCAGUGGCGAAGGCGGCUUACUGGACGAUAACUGACGCUGAGGCUCGAAAGCGUGGGGAGCAAACAGGAUUAGAUACCCUGGUA
rnacentral:rRNA from 1 species